AGUGGCGAACGGGUGAGUAAUGUAUCGGAACGUACCUUUCAGUGGGGGAUAACGUAGCGAAAGUUACGCUAAUACCGCAUAUUCUGUGAGCAGGAAAGCAGGGGAUCGAAAGACCUUGCGCUGAUUGAGCGGCCGAUAUCAGAUUAGCUAGUUGGUGGGGUAAAGGCCUACCAAGGCGACGAUCUGUAGCGGGUCUGAGAGGAUGAUCCGCCACACUGGAACUGAGACACGGUCCAGACUCCUACGGGAGGCAGCAGUGGGGAAUUUUGGACAAUGGGGGCAACCCUGAUCCAGCCAUGCCGCGUGAGUGAAGAAGGCCUUCGGGUUGUAAAGCUCUUUCGGCCGGGAAGAAAUCGCAUAGGCUAAUACCCUGUGUGGAUGACGGUACCGGAAUAAGAAGCACCGGCUAACUACGUGCCAGCAGCCGCGGUAAUACGUAGGGUGCGAGCGUUAAUCGGAAUUACUGGGCGUAAAGCGUGCGCAGGCGGUUUCGUAAGACAGAGGUGAAAUCCCCGGGCUCAACCUGGGAACUGCCUUUGUGACUGCGAGGCUAGAGUACGGAGGAGGGGGGGGGUGGAAUUCCACGUGGUAGCAGUGAAUGCGUAGAGAUGGUGGGAGGACACCGGAUUGGCGAGGCCGCCCCCUGGGCCGAUACUGACGCUCAUGCACGAAAGCGUGG
rnacentral:rRNA from 1 species